GCCUAGGAGAAGAACCGGAGCUUGAGUAAGGAGCCUGUUGGGUGGUUAUGCCCCACCCCGGGGCGGGCAAUAGGCGGAGUUGAGGGCGCGGUCGCGCUCAGCCCCGCCCCUAAUGGGACCGCUUCCAAGAACUGCGAACAUGGAAGUGAGUGUGCCUCCCACCGAGGGCUAGGGUUCAAAAGCAACUCAAAACGGACGUCUUGGCCAAAGCGGUUUGAUUAGAAGGGCUGGAGUUGUGACUCUUAAACCAUUUUGGGUCAGAACGCUCUUGACAACCCGAUGAAAACCACAGUCCUUCGCGCAGAGUGCAGAUUUCUCCAAAAGACUCUUUAAAUCUCCUACCUGCAAGGUGAGGCUCUGGCUGCCACAGUUCCAGGGCCCAGUGGAGAUAGAAAGCCAGAAGUCUCCAUAUUCAAGACCAAGAAUGAGAGUCUCACCGUGCUGCCCAGGCUGGAGUGCCAUGGCGCGAUCUUUGCAAAAGUAAAGUAUCCAACUUUGUCAUUCAAAGGACACUGGAAUAUAAAUUUACUCAGUAACAGCAAAAGCCAAAGAAAAAGAAAUAUUCAUCAGUGCUAUCUGAUGGAGGUGGCUUCACAGUAUUCAUGCAGAACAUCUGCAUAGUUAUAUUAAAGAUCAAUUUUAUAUCAGUUCCUUCUCUUCUGUUCCUUAAGCUAAUCUGGAUGUAGGGAAGAGAAGUACAAAGAAACCCAUGCCCUCUUAGCAGACAACUAAAACAAAAUUUUUCUUCAAAUUACAAAGAAACUUUGUAUACAAUCAUUGGCAUCUGAAACAAAAAAUUGCAAUUAAAUUACCUUGCCAUCAUU